rnacentral:rRNA from 1 species
CCUCAAAUCAGGUAGGACUACCCGCUGAACUUAAGCAUAUCAAUAAGCGGAGGAAAAGAAACUAACAAGGAUUCCCCUAGUAACUGCGAGUGAAGCGGGAAAAGCUCAAAUUUAAAAUCUGGCAGUCUCUGAUUGUCCGAAUUGUAAUCUAGAGAAGUGUUAUCCGCGUUGGACCGUGUACAAGUCUCCUGGAAUGGAGCGUCAUAGAGGGUGAGAAUCCCGUCUUUGACACGGACUACCAGUGCUUUGUGAUGCGCUCUCAAAGAGUCGAGUUGUUUGGGAAUGCAGCUCAAAAUGGGUGGUAAAUUCCAUCUAAAGCUAAAUAUUGGCGAGAGACCGAUAGCGAACAAGUACCGUGAGGGAAAGAUGAAAAGAACUUUGGAAAGAGAGUUAAACAGUACGUGAAAUUGCUGAAAGGGAAACGCUUGAAGUCAGUCGCGUUGUCCGGGGAUCAACCUUGCUUUUGCUGGGUGUACUUUCCGGUUGACGGGUCAGCAUCAAUUUUGACCGUUGGAUAAAGUGUAAGGGAAUGUGGCAUCUUCGGAUGUGUUAUAGCCUUUGCUCGCAUACAACGGUUGGGAUUGAGGAACUCAGUACGCCGCAAGGCCGGGAAUUUAUUCUACGUUCGUACUUAGGAUGCUGGCAUAAU